rnacentral:rRNA from 1 species
GACGAACGCUGGCGGCGUGCUUAACACAUGCAAGUCGAACGGAAAGGCCCUGCUUGCAGUGUACUCGAGUGGCGAACGGGUGAGUAACACGUGGGUGAUCUGCCCUGCACUGCGGGAUAAGCGGGGGAAACUGGGUCUAAUACCGGAUAGGAGCGAGCGUGAGUGUGGGGGUUGGAAAGGUUUUUCGGUGUAGGAUGAGCUCGUGGCCUAUCAGCUUGUUGGUGGGGUAAUGGCCUACCAAGGCGGCGACGGGUAGCCGGCCUGAGAGGGUGUACGGCCACCCUGGGACUGACAGACGGCCCAGACUCCGACGGGAGGAAGAAGUGGGGAAUCCUGCACCAGGCGCGCCAGCCGCAUGAAGAGACGCCGCGUGGUGGAUGAAGGUUUUCGGGUUGUAAACUCCCUUCGCUAUGGACGACGCUUUUUGUGACGGUACCUAGAUAAGAAGCACCGGCUAACUACGUG